rnacentral:rRNA from 1 species
GACGUAGGGGGCGAGCGUUGUCCGGAAUUACUGGGCGUAAAGCGCACGUAGGCGGCUCUUUAAGUCGGGGGUGAAAUCCUGGAGCUCAACUCCAGAACUGCCUUCGAUACUGUAGAGCUUGAGUUCGGGAGAGGUGAGUGGAACUGCGAGUGUAGAGGUGAAAUUCGUAGAUAUUCGCAAGAACACCAGUGGCGAAGGCGGCUCACUGGCCCGAUACUGACGCUGAGGUGCGAAAGCGUGGGGAGCAAACAGG